UACUGCAAAACACCAAGGAUAAUAUUAUAAUAAAUGGUGAUCAAUCACUUAAAAAAAGUUAAAUAGAAAACAAAAAAAAUCAUUUGGGAUCUGACACAAAAGUAGCACUGGGUCUUUAGGGGUUCGAGUCAUAAUGUUAGCAGUGAAACAGGUCUGUACACUUCCAUUACUGCAGAAAAGCUGGAAAUUAACAACCCAUUACUUGUAUUUUUUUAUGCUUUUUUAUGUUUGCCACCCCUGAUGUGGAUAUUUUACAUAUUUUUACUAAAAUGCUACUAACAAAUCACUCCAAUACAGGACUUUUAACACAUGAACUCCUGUGUGAAACUACUUUUUUUAAAGUACUACUGUCACAGCUUAUGUGUGCAGGUGUAAAUACAGACUAUGGGUUUAGACCCCAGAACUACAGGUAAUUUGGGUUAAAUAUGCAUUUUUACAGUUUUAAUAAUGUUACAGGCUAACUGUCAGAGGGUGUAAAUAUCUGCAAGUAUCUGCUUUAAAAAUAAAAUGGAAAACUAAUGUAAAUUUCAAGAACCAAAGAGUUCAUUAAAAGAGCUUUUGUUGCAGCAGUGGAAGUAAAUAAAGUCCUUAAGAAUGAUGCAGACAGUUCCUAAAGGUGGCUGAUUUUGGUGAAUUCCUUACAAACCUGUCUGUACAAAAGUUACAAGAGUUAGAACAGACUGAAGCAUCAUUUAGUCGAAGUGCAGAAAGUAGAAUAUCGCCAUCUUAAAGGUGAGAAAAAACAGCUAAUAAAGACAGACCAUUAAAUCCUUUAAAUGGAGCUGUGUCCUUUAGAGAAAAUACCUGCAGGUUCCUAAAAAAUUUGACCAGUAGUCUAAGAAAUGACUAAAAAAAAAAGCAGCUGGGGUUUUACUGCUGCCUCUGAAACAACCUGGAAAAUCUUACUGAAAGACCAGUCGUCUUUUGUCUCGUGCUCAUGUUUUUCUCUUUUAUGUGUCUGUAUUUUUCAUGUAUUUCUUUAGAACUUGUUUCGUUUUGUAACCAAAGAUCAACAUUAAUGUAAUCGAUGUUUUUAUGCCGACAAGCUUGUGUUUUGUACCUAAGGGAACAGCUCUAUCCUAAAUGUGUAUUAUUCACUUUAGGAAUAAUUCUCAUGUGUAAAUAAGAUUUAAAAAGGGAAAUCAGUCGAACUAUGGGAGCAGAGUCUGUGUCUCAAUUUACUACAGCGGGUCAGUGCACUAUAACUUAUGUCUCCUGAGAGAUUUUGACCGGUGUUUUAUGAAGGGAUGCUCAUUAAACACUUUUCUGAAUGAGCAAAGUGUCUGUCAGUCAUUUACAUUCGCCAGUAAAAACACAACACGUUAGGCUAAUUAUUACCAGAUCAUGAGGAUGAUGAGUGGAAUGAUUGUGCACAGCUGAAGUAUUGCACAACAGGGCUCAGACUAUUCCAUACGUUAUUGUAUGGAAUACAAUCUCAUCUUUUUUCUUCUUUUUCCUUGAAAGUGACUCAAAUGUUGAUUGAAUGAAUGAUUUAAGUAGUUCAUACAACUUUAAAUAUUCUUGAAAACCACUUGUCACACUGGAAAAAUGCCAGCUUUUUAAGCUUAGGUCAAAUGUGAUACACAAACCUUUCAGUGGUCACAUGAUGCACAAAUGCAGGCGAAGCAAAGUGCUUUUUUUUUUUUUAAAGCCGAGAGCUGAGCGACAGGUGAGGGCAUCGCACACCACAGCACUACUAACCCACAGCCACUAGCACCACAACAUGCACUGGAAACAUCACAACUACUACUACUGCUCUGCUUGCCACACAGCUCACACUGACUGGACGGUGUGGGCAGUGUCAAUCAGUGAUGAAUACAGCUACAUCUACAUGCACUACACACACAGAGCACACCACUGUCUGGUCAGAUCACAGUCCGCCGUCCACAGAGGCCAGUCCAGGAUCUCAGUGUCACACAGUAAUGAGGUGAAGAUGAUGAUGAUGAUGAUGAUGUACUACAUUAACAAAGGCAUGAAAUGUUACGUGACAAAUUUCUGUGGUGAGAAUGAGAACAAGAUGAAAAGUGAUGUUACAUAAAUCCACCAGAGCUCAUUAUUUUCAGUCUCAAAAAAAAUAUGUAAGGUUGAUGCAAA